GACGAACGCGGCGGCGUGCUUAACCCCUGCCAGUCGCACGGAAAGGCCCUGCUUUUGUGGGGUGCUCGAGUGGCGAACGGGUGAGUAACACGUGAGUAACCUGCCCUUGACUUUGGGAUAACUUCAGAAAACUGGGGCUAAUACCGGAUAGGAGCUCCUGCUGCAUGGUGGGGGUUGGAAAGUUUCGGCGGUUGGGGAUGGACUCGCGGCUUAUCAGCUUGUUGGUGGGGAAGUGGCUUACCAAGGCUUUGACGGGUAGCCGGCCUGAGAGGGUGACCGGCCACAUUGGGACUGAGAUACGGCCCAGACUCCUACGGGAGGCAGCAGUGGGGAAUAUUGCACAAUGGGCGGAAGCCUGAUGCAGCAACGCCGCGUGCGGGAUGACGGCCUUCGGGUUGUAAACCGCUUUCGCCUGUGACGAAGCGUGAGUGACGGUAAUGGGUAAAGAAGCACCGGCUAACUACGUG
rnacentral:rRNA from 1 species